rnacentral:rRNA from 1 species
UACGUAGGGUGCAAGCGUUGUCCGGAAUUAUUGGGCGUAAAGAGCUCGUAGGCGGUCUGUCGCGUCGGCUGUGAAAUCCCGAGGCUCAACCUCGGGUCUGCAGUCGAUACGGGCAAACUGGAGUGUUGCAGGGGGGACUGGAAUUCCUGGUGUAGCGGUGAAAUGCGCAGAUAUCAGGAGGAACACCGGUGGCGAAGGCGGGUCUCUGGGCAACAACUGACGCUGAGGAGCGAAAGCGUGGGGAGCGAACAGG